ensembl:lncRNA
UAUGAUGUCAUGCCACAGACUCAAAAAAUUCUUAAUGCUACACAUCCAAAGAGUCCAGGUAGCCCCAGAGAAGAAUAGAUUGUUUUCGCUAGUUUCAUAAGUGAAAGUCUGCCUGGCAUCCUACUUUAGCUAGAAAACAACAUCAAACAAUGUAUAGUUUUGUGGGCCAAGAAGUUUAUGAGUAAAGAACAGAUCAAGAGAUAGGAAGUCUGUCUCCUAGCAUCACAUUGGCAACUAUGUACCUGUUUGAGCUUGGCACGCUGGUGUAUCUUCUUAGGGUGACUGACCUCCUCGUCUCAAGAUGGGUGCCACAGCUGAUGCCCAGAUGUUUAGGAAGACUUCCAGAGCAAAAGGGGACACAUUACCCAGGAUAGAUUGCAAGCUGAGUCAUCCUCAAAACCUCAGUAUUAUUGAUUGGUUCAAAUUAGGGAGAUAUGGCCUAAAAAGCAGGACCUUGAAAGAAUGAAGCACAGAAAACUUAAAAAGCUGCCAAGAUUGGGAGCACUCACCACCUAAGAAGAGCAGAAUAGUGCCCAGCGCACAGAGGAGGCCUCAUCAGUGCAAUCCCUUCCCUUCCUGUCUUGCCUGAGCUGCACGGCGGAAUGACAGGGGGAGAAGGCUGGACGCCAGAGACCCUGGAUCCUAGAAGAAGGCGCAACAAAAAGUCGAAGGUCCUCUGAACAGGUGAUAAGAGACGCUCCAAGGCGGACAAUCUAUUUUGUCAAACACACCAAAGGUGAGCCCUCUCUAUUCACACGAGGGCUGUUCCCUGUGCCAUUUUUGAGUUAAGAUGGAUGGUCCCGAAGUGUGGCACAGGUUUUGAUUCUAUCUCCUUACCUGGAAGUCUACCUGAGGAUUCACUAAGAAGGAGCCUAUAGCUAGUCGUUGUUACCCGGGCGUUUCCCUGGAUAGCCACAAUGCCCUGUGAUAAGUGCUCGUCAUAACUGUAGUUGCAGCAACAGCAACCACUAACUAAGCACGUGGAAUAUGUUAGAUGAGGCACCAAAUUCCGUACGUAUAUGUAUCAUCUCAUCUGAUCCUCUCAACAGCCCUCAAAAGUUGACAUCAUUACUCCUACUUCGUGUAUUUAAUACGGAAUAGAAAGGUCAAGUAAUUUGCCCAUGACCACCCAGCUGGUGUGUGGUGGUGCUGGAAAUAAUUUAUUUCAGACUCCAAACAUCGUAUUCUUGACGCUUACAUUGUAUUCUUUGUUACUGUUACCCUCAUCAUCCAUGAUCUGGGGAAACUGAGGCACAGAGUGUUAAUCCAUUAAGCUCUCACUACGACGCUGUGGGGCCACGUAAGCACGGUCACCCCGUGGCACACAGGAGGGAGCAGGCCCUGAGAGGACAGGGAACUGGCCUCCAUCCCGGAGGCACCUCCAUCUCAGGGCUGGCACCUGGGUCUUUGGAGCCUCAGCAAAACACCCCUUCCUCAACCUGGACUCCUCACCCUGGUCCGCAGAAACAGCCUCUGGGCACCCCGCUGCCAGCUGUUCCAUCCUUAGGGACACAUUUUCUCCGAUGGCCCCUCAGUUCCUCCCACAGGAUCCCUCUCCCGGCUCCACCAGCGCCUGACAGGCUGCCUCUGACCUGGCCUGGAUCCCGCCCUGCCUUGUAACGCUUUUGUGCGCUGUCCCUCACGCUGAACCUCAGGUCUGCACACACUUGCUCACUGACUCUGGACAAGUCACCUCAACUGCCUGAGCCUCAUCUUCUCAUCUAGAAACGGGGAGAACACUGAUUUCAGCGUUUGUCAUGAAAGUAAAUAAGAUGCUUUUGCAGAACCAUAAAAUCCUUUAUAAAGCAGCACUUGAUGCUCCCAGCAACCAAAGUAAAGACAGGCUGGGAGGAGGUGAGGGGCAGAAGAAGGGGCUGGGGAUGCACAGACCACUCAGGUCCUGGCUGUGACACCUUUACUUGUACAUCCCUGGAAAAAUUGCUCCGCCUUCCUGAGCCUCAGUGCUCAUCUUUGAUGGAAAUAUUUGAUCUUCUUACUAAAGUUUUUGUGAUGAUAAAAGGAGAUGAUGUAUCGAAGAUCUUAAUACAACGCCUGGCACUCAAUAACUUGUGUGGUGGUGGUGGUAUUAUUAUUAUUUUCUCUCUUGGAGCAGAGUCUUUUCUCACAAAUUUCGUGUCCCACAACAUUAAGCAUAGUGUUUUGCCAGUAAAAGGUGCCAAAAUAUAAUUUUUGAAGAAAUGAUUGAUUUUUUUUAAAUACUAUGAGAUAAUAAAAGAGAUAGGAACCACUGUAAAUUUUUAAAAGGUCUAUCUAACUAUCCUGCAUCACAAUUUUUUCCAUGUUAUAGAGAAAGUGAACAUGCCUCAAUUCUUGGGGUCCAUCCCGGUUAUUUCUCCACUUCUGAAGACUGUAGAAUAUGCUGUCUACAUACAUACAUAAUGAGAAUAUA